AUUGAACGCUGGCGGAAUGCUUUACACAUGCAAGUCGAACGGUAGAGGGGGCAACCCCUUGAGAGUGGCGAACGGGUGAGUAAUAUAUCGGAACGUGCCCAGUCGUGGGGAUAACGUAGCGAAAGCUACGCUAAUACCGCAUACGAUCUAUGGAUGAAAGCGGGGGAUCGCAAGACCUCGCGCGAUUGGAGCGGCCGAUAUCAGAUUAGGUAGUUGGUGAGGUAAAGGCUCACCAAGCCGACGAUCUGUAGCUGGUCUGAGAGGACGACCAGCCACACUGGGACUGAGACACGGCCCAGACUCCUACGGGAGGCAGCAGUGGGGAAUUUUGGACAAUAGGCGAAAGCCUGAUCCAGCAAUGCCGCGUGAGUGAUGAAGGCCUUAGGGUUGUAAAGCUCUUUUACCCGGGAUGAUAAUGACAGUACCGGAGAAUAAGCUCCGGCUAACUCCGUGCCAGCAGCCGCGGUAAAGUGACUACUG
rnacentral:rRNA from 1 species